AGACAACUCUUUUGAAAAAGCAUCAUAGUUACCAAGAUGCUUCAGAAAUACUGCGCAUAGACACGAAGAAUUGGGAGUCUUCAGAAGAGUGGAUUAACUACCCAGGAUGUAUCAGUGCAGGGAAUAUAUGUCCACACGUAUUAUCAUCAGGAAAACGACAUUAUGUAGCAGAAAUGGUUUUGUGCAGACCUUUCCAGAUUUUCCUAACAUAGCUGUUUUUCUUCCUGGAAAGAUCUUUGUACCUCAGUCAGUUGAGUUGCACGACAGUGUUCCUGCAUUUCAGAACUGAUCAGUAAUGAAACAGGCACCAGCCAGGUACAGCAUAAGCAGAUACAGGAUGAAGUGUGCAGCACCUGGCAACAUUUCUGAACCCUGAGCUGAAAUGACAACUGUGAAAGAACCAGAAGGGAAGUGCAAUUUCUACAAGAGAAUCCCUGUCAUGCCCGCUAAUUAAUGCCUCCGGCACGUGAACCCCCUGUCCCUAUCACACUGGGCUGAAACUGAAGCUGUCAGCUCAUUUGGGGCAAGUCACCAUAAGGGCUAUGAGGCUGUAAUAUCCCCUACAGCCCUGUCAUGUUUGCAGCCCAGGACAAUAUAGUCAGUGCAGGGAAACAUCCAAGAAGGGAAAAAAA